rnacentral:rRNA from 1 species
CGCAGCCGCGGUAAUUCCAGCUCCAAUAGCGUAUAUUAAAGUUGUUGCAGUUAAAAAGCUCGUAGUUGAAUUUCGAGACCGGUUUACUGGUCGUGCUUUUGUACGUACUGGUAUUAUUGGUUUCUCCUUUCUGACGAAUCAUAAUGCCAUUAAUUUGGUGUUUUGGGAAUCA